CCUACGGGAGGCAGCAGUGGGGGAUAUUGCACAAUGGGGGGAACCCUGAUGCAGCGACGCCGCGUGGGUGAAGAAGCGCCUCGGCGCGUAAAGCCCUGUCAGCAGGGAAGAAAAUGACGGUACCUGAAGAAGAAGCCCCGGCGAACUACGUGCCAGCAGCCGAGGGAAUACGUAGGGGGCAAGCGUUAUCCGGAUUUACUGGGUGUAAAGGGGGCGCAGACGGCGAUGCAAGCCAGGAGUGAAAGCCCGGGGCCCAACCCCGGGACUGCUCUUGGAACUGCGUGGCUGGAGUGCAGGAGGGGCAGGCGGAAUUCCUGGUGUAGCGGUGAAAUGCGUAGAUAUCAGGAGGAACACCGGUGGCGAAGGCGGCCUGCUGGACUGCAACUGACGUUGAGGCCCGAAAGCGUGGGGAGCAAACAGGAUUAGAUACCCUAGUAGUC
rnacentral:rRNA from 1 species